ACUAUUUUAUUUAGGGACGACAUCAAAAGUUCAAUGAAGGAUAAAAAACUUAAUUCAAAUAGUUUUUUCACUUACCCCCCUAUUAACUUAGUUUGGGAAAAAUUGAUUGACCCAUAUGGAUAUAUGUAAAAAUCAAUGUCGGAUAACCAAAUCUUGCAGCAGUUCAACCCCAACCCCCAAACUAUUUGCAUUAAGUUUUUCAUCUUACCUUGAUCUUUUGAUGUCGUCCCUUAC
rnacentral:lncRNA from 1 species